rnacentral:rRNA from 1 species
CAGCCGCCGCGGUAAUACCGGCGGCCCGAGUGGCGGCCACUAUUAUUGGGCUUAAAGCGUCCGUAGCCGGGUUGGUUAGUCUCCCGGGAAAUCUGGCCGCUUAACGGUCAGAAUUCCGGGAGAUACUGCCAGCCUAGGGACCGGGAGAGGCCGAGGGGAUUCCCGGAGUAGGGGUGAAAUCCUAUAAUCCCGGGAGGACCACCUGUGGCGAAGGCGCUCGGCUGGAACGGGUCCGACGGGGAGGGACGAAGGCCAGGGGAGCAAACCGGAUUAGAUACCCGGGUAGUCCUGGCUGUAAACGAUGCGGGCUAGCUGUUGGGUGGGCUUAGAGCCCACCCAGUGGCGCAGGGAAGCCGUUAAGCCCGCCGCCUGGGGAGUACGGCCGCAAGGCUGAAACUUAAAGGAAUUGGCGGG